CAUAGAUUAUCCCACUCUGUUGAGCUGAGCGUCCCGUAAACCUCUAAGAGAGGCUAUGCAGAUAUGACAGGUCCUGAUUUUAUAGCCAUUGAAGCUAUGGUGAUCCCGAUUAGUGCAGUAGCGAGUCCUGUCUCACCAUUACGCUGCCUUCUGAUGGUGGUCAGGUGAGGCUCAUAGUUAUCCAGGGUGCUGCCAAGGCUAGAGCUUGAUGCAUCAAUCCUGAAGUCCCACCUGAUUGCCCAAUAAAAGAUAAAUCUCAGGGGGCUGAGAAACGUGCCCUUCAGUUCACGUGUAUUAUCCUCAAGGGGAACAUUAUUGCUUUACAAGCUUGGAUUCUUUGUUCUGAACCCUAACUGUAAACCAGGAAUUGGGGCUGAGAGCUUCUUCCACGCACAGCCCUAGGCUCGGCUCUGCAUCCAAGCUCCGCUUUCUAGAAGUGCUUAUAUUAUUAACCAGGCUGCAGCCGGAAUUCGCUAGAAACCACAAUGUGGGCUACUGCUUUGCGGAAGGAAGAGGAGCGAAGGACGAGGCUGCCCCCUAGUGGGAAAGCCACAAGAAGCAGCGACGCUUCCAAUCAGCUCACACCUUGAAGUAUUGCAAGGAGAUGAAUGGGCUCCGCAUUUCCAGCUUCAGGGACUCCAUUUCAGAGUCGCUGGGGAGGAUAUUGGGGUGCAGAUUCUUUUACCAUUACGGAGUGGUGGUAUGGCGUUGAGAAAUAAGAAUAGGCGAACAUCUUAUCUACUAACGUCUAGCCUCUAUAAACAGCCCCUGGUUAAAUCCAGAUUCCGGGUCCUGGUUGGGAGAUUUUGAUUUAGCAGGGCAGGAAUGGGAAACAAGGGAGGGUUUGGGUUUUAAAUCAGCGUGAUUCUGAUCAUCUCGCAAAUUUGAAUAUUCUGCGCUGGGAGGCGACUUUCUGUUUCACUUUCCCAGACCCGGGUCAGGGGCCAAGCCCUUGCAAGUCGAGAGACCCAGGACUUGCUCUCUUCCCUCUGCGUUCGCGCAGCCUCCAGCUGUAUCUCCGGCGUCGCGAGGGUAGCCAGACCCAGCCAGCCUCCCCGGGAUCCGCCCACCAGCCGCGGUUUCCAUGGCGACCCGAUGGCGCCGCGUUCCGCAGCCUUAGGGCGGGGCAAGGGGCGGAGACCUAUCUCUCUCUCCAGGCGCUCAGCGCCCGACAUGCAAGUGGGAAGGGGAUUCUCGUCCAGGACGAUUCAAAUACUUCGGACAGACUCACCGACUGCCCGGCUGAGAGAAUCUGUGAGGUCUACCUGCCUAGCAGUUUGCCUUUGCACGGUCCUCCCGUGAGGAGUGAGAACACACAGUCUUCACAAAAUAGAAGUAUUUGGCUGCCUUGCUCUUACCACCAGGAGUGUAGGAUCCUUGGCCCUGCAAUGCCUGCACCUGAAGACCCUGAACAUCGGGAGCGUCCCCAAGGUUUCUGAGGCCUGCCUGGUCAGGAGCCUGGAAAAUUUAUGAGAAGUAACUGUGCUUAAUGUUGCUGUCUUCACAAUGGUGAGACUCUCUGGACUCAGAAUGACUUUUUCAGUUGUUUCCGUGUUUCUAUAUUGCCAGAAUAUAAGGCUAGUAAUGCUUUUGUAGCUUUUUCAUGUCAUCGUGAGUUAAUGAACUGAAAUGCACAUUUAAAGGGGGACAGAAUCUCCUAGUAUCUGUGUGAUAAGAAGGGUUUGCACACUGGGUUAUGACUACUCAAAAAAAGAAAUAUUUGAAACUGGAGAAGCAAAUAUAAUUCUCCUAAGGAAAUAUUGCUAUUUAGUAGGUAAUAUAUCUAAUAGUUGACCAAUCAACUGAAUCUUUUGCCAUUUGUGUAACUGAACUAACAUUUACAGGAAUCAAUAAAAUUACAAAAAACAUAAGAGAUGUUAACAGUGAUAAUAGUUAUCAUUUAUUGAGCCUAUUCUAUGUUCCAGGAACUGUACAAGGCACUUAUUAUAAUAUUAUUUCAUUAACUUCCUCUCUUCCUUGUGUCAGAAGUAGCAGCAUCUCCAAUUUGCAGGCAGAAUGAUUGAGGUUCUAGGAGUUGCAAGAGGUAUGGUACAGGCCACAAAGCUAGCAAGCAUAGAUCCAGGCUUUCUGAUUUGCUAUCACGAAAUCUCAUUGACUUCCUUCUGUAUGGAAGGAGGGGGCUAUACUUCUCCUUCCAAAUAUGAUUAGUUAAAAGUGAUAUGAACAUGGGAUGGGCUGAUUUUCAUAAAUUGAAUAUUGAUUCACAUAAUAUUCUGUGAAUUUAGAGUGGAGAGUAUUUCUGGCUGAGAACAGAUGAUCACCAUGUGACUUUUGUAAGCUUUGUAAUAUUGGUUGGUUGAAAGCCAGUGAAAAGAUGUUCUGAUGUAAACAGCUGAAUGAAAAUUUUAUGAGUUCAGUUUUAUCUUUUACUAGCUUCAUCUGGGGCUCUGAACUGUUCUUGCCUUGAAUGCUCUCUGAAGAAGCAAUGAGAGAACAGUACUACAUUUCUUUUUCUUUUUAAUAGAAAUGUCAUAUACUUGAAAGAAAUUAUUCAUUAAAAGUUGAAAGUCUGUUCUCAGCUUGCUAGAUGAUUUAGAUACGUUUGGGAAAGUCUUUCACAAGCUCAAAGUUCUGGGAAGAAAUAAACUCUCAUUCUUAGUCUGUUUUCACUCAAAACUGCAAAACACACAGCAACAGUAGCUUAAUCUUACUCAAUUUCUAGACAUUCACUUUUAAUGCAUGAAAAACUCUUAAAUUAACAAUAUGUACAUAAUGUUGGAUUGCUUGAUAUCUUAAAUAAGAUGAUAGAUGCUGUGCUACUGCUUGCUGCUUAAAUUCUUAGCGUCUAGUUUCAUAAAUGCUGUAUCACCAUAAUAUUUGAGGUCACUUAAUUAAUUUAAGCAUAAUAUGGGAUAAGCACUUCCAUGACUCUCUGAUUUUUAUUUUGGGGAUUUUACAAUGGUGAUUCUGCAGAUUCUGGCAGUAAAGUAUGCAAGCUCACAAAUUUAGAGGCCACCCCCAAAAUGUCUUUGGGGGUGCUCCAGGUGCUGCUCAUGAAGCAAAGCACAGUUCCUGGGACAAGUUCAGUGCUUCAUAAAUUUGUGCUAAGGACUAGGCUGAGACCACGUCGUCAAGGCCAUCUCAUAGCAAAUUAUGUAUAAAUUAAAAUUUUGUGAAUGAAGUCUCAUUUCAACUACUGAGUGAGGGCUUGUUAUAUUUAGGAACUAUGCCUCAAAUUAUUUGUAAAAUGAAUAGCUGCUUCCUGAUUUGCCUGCUAUAUAAGUUUGACUUUCUCUGACAAAAAAUUAAAGGGUGGAUCACCUGAGUAUAUGAGAAAAUAACUUAGCAUAACAUGGUAUGGUGAACAGGAUCUCGCCUGUGAUUUUCCAUCUUUUUAUGCACUGGAACAUCAGACCCUUUCUGUGAUGUUCUCUGAAUGCCAGACUUUUCAAUACAUUCUUAAAAGAGUCACCAUGAAAAAAAACAUGCUAACUUUGCCCUUGAGAUUUCAGCCUUUGAAGUUUAAGGUUUUACAAGUAGGCUUUUGUAGUCACUUAUGUAGAGAUCAUAAGUGUGUAUGUGUGUGUGUGUGGGUAUAUAUAUAUGCACUUAAAUCAGACUAUAACAAGUACGGGGAAUAUUAGCACAUCAUAAUGAGGCAUCAUAGAUAUAUGGAUAAAUAGAACAUAUGUAGAUAUAUGGAAAGACAGAGACAGAAAUGUCAGGGUGCAUGAAGGAUAUAGAGGGUUUGAUUAUCCUUUCUCUGUGGGUGUGUACAUCUACAAUAAGCCACUAUUCUCAGAUCCUGCUCCAUUAUAAAUUAUGAGAGGAAAAAUCUGGGUGUGUGUUCAGUUCCUAGAACCAUCUGAUAUGAUUUGCCUCUGGGUCACCACCUGAAUCUCACCUUGAAUUGUGGUAAUCCCCAUGUGUUAAGGACGGGGCCAGAUGGAGAUAAUUGAAUCAUGCGGGAGUUUCUCCCCUACUGUUCUCGUGGUGGUGAGAAAGUCUCACGCGAUCUGAUGGUUUUAUAAAUGAGAAUUCCCUGCACAAGCUCCCUCUUUGACUGCUGCCAUGUAAGACAUGACUUUGCUCCUCCUUGCCUUCCACCGUGAUUGUGAAGCCUUCCCAGCCAUGUGGAAGUGUGAGUCAAUUAAGCCUCUUUCUUUUCUAAGUUACUCAGUCCUGGGUAUGCCUUUAUCAGCAGUGUGAGAAUGCACUGAUACAUCAUCUUAGUUGCAAUUAGGCACUUAAUAAUUUUAUGAUUAUAAUGAUAUUAGGGAGAUAAAUAAAAUCUGUCAACAGAGUAGAAAGUAGUCAUAAACAUGAGGGUUAAAAAUAUAAACAUAGUGAACAGUAGUUAAACUAAGCAGAAAAAUCACAUUAAAAUCGUGGGAUUAAUCAUAGGUUAGAUUUGAUUUUUUCUGUGUUUAUAAUCUUCCAGUUUGGUAUAUUUUGAUCUUUUAGUAACACUUCAAUUUCUUAGUGUUUUACAACUCAUUUUAUUCUAAUAAUAAUUGUAAAUGAACCCUAUUAGGCCUAAACUUGUUAUUAAUCUUAGAAUCUUACUACCAACUAUAUUUUAUAUCACUAGUAUUACCAAGGUCUCUCUUACUUGCUGAUUGUAUUAAUAGAGAACCUGGGUGCUUGUAUAAGAUGACUGACUCUUAUUAGUUUAGCUCUGAACUGAAAGUUCAUUCAGUAUGGACUCUGGAGCCAUCAGCCCUAGAUCUGACUGUAGCUUUGUUGUUUACUUAGGGAUAACCUCAAUGAGACAUUUAACUCUCAGACUCACAAUUUUCUUAUUUGUAAGAAAUAAGAAAUAACAUCUAUUUUUGUAGGACUAUUGUAAGCACUAGAACUAGUGUCUAUAGGAGGCCUACCUAGGAAUCUGGCAUACUUAGGCACUUCUCAACUGGGAACCAUAAAUAUGAUGACGAUGACGAUGACGAUGAUGAUGUUGACGAUGCUAACUCAUCUGAACAAAUUCAUAUCAUGCCUCUAGCACACUUGAUUCAUUGCCCUGUCCUCUAUGUGCAGAAAGAUUUGAACUUGAAAACAAGUCCUUGUUUGUUUCCUCCUGUAGGUGAGGGAUCAGCUUGCCCAUAUCAUUGUGACACAGUGUCAUUAACUGGACAGCCUGGUCCUCAGCUCCUGUCCUCAAGUAACAGGCAUGAGCUUGGUGGAAAUCAGCACGAAUCUGCGAGCCCUCAGGUACUUUUUUCUGUGUAAGCAUCCCAACCAGACCCCAGCAAAGGCACCCCAGUGUUCUUUAAGAUAAUGGGUUUGGUCUUUUGAUUUUUCUUUAUUUAAAUCACCCAAAUAGAAAUCUAGUUUAUGUUAUCUUUAGUGUCUUUUUAUAGCUCAUUCUUGUAAUCUUAGAUCACUGUUAUGAUCAGAAAAUUCUAUGAAAAUCUAGGGAAGGCAAAACUUCUCUAGAUACUUAGAGCUUAUUGUGUUUGACCAAGCAGAUGUGGGGAGGAUAGAAAACAGAAUUAUUUUCUUGCUUAAAAAAGGGAGACUUGGGAUAAGGCACAAUGUGACCGGAAUUGCACUGGUAUGUUUCUUCUUUAUAACAGCAAACUCCACAGAAGUGUCCUCUCAACUAGUUGUCCAAUUCUUGUUCUACAGAUAGGAGAAGGGAAGCUAAGUGUGCCCACUUGUGAAAAGCCUCUAUUAAGU
ensembl:lncRNA